CAGUACAUUAAUUUUGAAGCUGCUUUUUGAAAACAAAGUUUGACCUCAGAAAGGAGCCUUCACGGCUCAUCAUGAAGAGGAUGAGAAAGCCAGCCAGAAGGAUGACAGAGGGAAGGAACCACGGUACUUCUGCAGCAAUUGAAGAUUUUGGGGCUGUAGCUGAGGAGCAUGCCUGAUCCUGAGUGGACACUUGUGCUGUUUGAAGAAGUGAGGAUCUUGUUACCUGAAACAGAUGGUGGAAGAGAAGAGGAGUCCUGCAGGACACUUUCUCUGAGGAAAGCAAUUGCCUUUAGUGACAGUUGAGCAAAUGUCAAUUUUUGAUUCAUAAGACACUUCUAUAUUUCAGGAAAAAUAUCUUAUUUGGAGCAACUACAACUUAGACUUUCCCACUUUCCCACAGAAUGAUAACAGCUGAAACUUAUGCUCAGAAUUCCUAAAUCAGCCUCAGAUUUUUAAAAUUCCACUUAAAAUCUUCACAGAUACUUUUGUUUCUAUAUUCUUCAAAAUAUCUUCAUAUAGGAAAAGAAAAUAAAAGAAAGCAAGUGAAAACUUCUCACUCAUGGUAGGAACUAAAAAACAACAACAAAUGCUUCUCUGAUAGGUAACAAAGUCAGAAAUAUCCAUAAUUUCAUGCUGAAUAUGGAAAAUAUGCUUGAAUUAACAUGAUCCCUACUCUCUACUACAAAGCUUGUGGACAUUCUUAGCAAUUUUUUUUAUUAUUUUUUUUGUCCACUUUUAAAUAUUUCAGAAGGAACUAAAGUCAGAAUGUUUAAAAUUAAUUUGAAACUUUUUUUACAAAAACUUUCUGAUCCUGGGAUAUAGCAUAUAUUUUACUGUUAGAAAAUUGUUAUGCUUUUCUAAAAAUGAGGCCAAAAUAUAAAUUGACUCGAUAUAUCCUGAUGUAGAAAUUCAUCUAAAAUGGCUUAAGUUUAUUUCAGUGUGUACAGCUCAGUGUGUCGAUCCAGGUCUUAUUUAUUUUGUAACCUCUGCUUACAAGCUCAAGUGUUUGCAGUGAUCUCUGCAUGCUUUGAACAAGGACUCUGGCACAAAUCUCCCACUACUAAAAUUAAUUCACUGAUGUAAAUCCCGACUAAGUCAUUUUGGCUUAAAGAGACACUUGAGAAAGUGGGGACAGAAGGUAACCUAAAGUGUGAUUUGCCACUGAGGUGUUUUGAUAAUGAGCAUUGUCUCCUCUGCAAUGCCCAGAUGUCUGAAAACCCAGUUUCUGAAAAAUACACCCUGUGCUUCCUCUGCAACAUGGCAUGCAGUGCAAUCUCUCUGUCCAUAGGAAACAUCUUGUUUUUAUAUUUUGUUAUAAGCUUCUUAUUAUCUUAUUACAUUAAUAUAUCACAAAAUUACUACAUUCAUAUUAAUAUAUUACUAUAAUGCAUAAAAUAAUUAAUGCAUUUGUUAUUGCUGAUAUAUAAAAUUAUCAUUAUAAUAUUUGAUCGUGUUCCACCGAGGGAAGAGAUUUGUUAACAAUAUCAGGAGAAGUAGAAUCACACAGUUGCAAUGGUGGAGGGAAAUAACAAGAACGAAAAAUCAUAAAUGUUCUUGAUUCUUACACAAAUCAUAAAUGUUCUUGAUUCUUACACAAGGCAAGGUUUUAAACCAUUUUAAGCAGAAGUGAUGACCAACAUCAGUUUGUAAGAAUAAAGUCCAGGUGUCUCUAAAUGUCAUCUUCUUACUGACUUCAGAAAGGAAAGAAACCCCAAGAAGCUAGAAGAGCUUCAAAAUAGGCAUAAAAUUAACUCCUCUGUUGGAACAAGGACUAGCCAUUUAUCAACAGAAACCAAGCCCUGAGUGUAGACAGUCUCCAUAUAGAUUAGAUAAAGGCUCAACUGAUAAAACCAAGAGAAUUUAAGGAAGAAAAGAUGGACAAAGACCAGAGAGCUCCUGAAACAAACGAUUAUCAGGCAUUUGUUCUAUUAGCAAUAUAGGGUGAGAUCUUUACCUGCUGUAAUUACCAUAGAAGCAAUGCAACUAAUUGUGCUGCAUGGCGGCAGUAGCUGUAGUCCAUGUAAAUUUACUCAAUCUUAUAUUCACAUUCUAAGUGUAAUGCAUUUUUUCCAUGCCUUAGUUGCUGUGCAAAGGCAACAAAUGAUCUUCAUGAAGUACUUUCUUCCCAGGCAAUCCAGUAAAUUAACACUUAAUGGACAUCUGUUUUUUAUAACAAAUAUUUCUAAGCAUUAUAACUUCUCUGAUUCAGCUUCACCUUAGACGGUUUAUUUUUAUGAUAACAAAGAGGAAAGAAAUGAAUUAUACUGAACUUUUCACCAUUCACUGGU